AGAGUUUGAUCCUGGCUCAGGAUGAACGCUGGCGGCGUGCUUAACACAUGCAAGUCGAACGAACCUUCGGGUUAGUGGCGGACGGGUGAGUAACGCGUGAGAAUCUGCCCUCAGGAGGGGGAUAACGGCUGGAAACGGCCGCUAAUACCCCAUAUGCCGAGAGGUGAAAUGAAUUUCGCCUGAGGAUGAGCUCGCGUCUGAUUAGCUAGUUGGUGGGGUAAGAGCCUACCAAGGCAUCGAUCAGUAGCUGGUCUGAGAGGAUGAUCAGCCACACUGGGACUGAGACACGGCCCAGACUCCUACGGGAGGCAGCAGUGGGGAAUUUUCCGCAAUGGGCGAAAGCCUGACGGAGCAACGCCGCGUGAGGGAUGAAGGCCUCUGGGCUGUAAACCUCUUUUAUCAAGGAAGAAGAUCUGACGGUACUUGAUGAAUAAGCCACGGCUAAUUCCGUGCCAGCAGCCGCGGUAAUACGGGAGUGGCAAGCGUUAUCCGGAAUUAUUGGGCGUAAAGCGUCCGCAGGCGGCCUGAUAAGUCUGUUGUCAAAGCGUGGAGCUUAACUCCAUUUCGGCAAUGGAAACUGUGAGGCUUGAGUGUGGUAGGGGCAGAGGGAAUUCCCGGUGUAGCGGUGAAAUGCGUAGAUAUCGGGAAGAACACCAGUGGCGAAGGCGCUCUGCUGGGCCAUAACUGACGCUCAUGGACGAAAGCCAGGGGAGCGAAAGGGAUUAGAUACCCCUGUAGUCCUGGCCGUAAACGAUGAACACUAGGUGUCGGGGGAAUCGACCCCCUCGGUGUCGUAGCCAACGCGUUAAGUGUUCCGCCUGGGGAGUACGCACGCAAGUGUGAAACUCAAAGGAAUUGACGGGGGCCCGCACAAGCGGUGGAGUAUGUGGUUUAAUUCGAUGCAACGCGAAGAACCUUACCAGGGUUUGACAUCCUGCGAAUCCCUUGGAAACUUGGGAGUGCCUUCGGGAGCGCAGAGACAGGUGGUGCAUGGCUGUCGUCAGCUCGUGUCGUGAGAUGUUGGGUUAAGUCCCGCAACGAGCGCAACCCACGUCUUUAGUUGCCAGCAUUGAGUUGGGCACUCUAGAGAGACCGCCGGUGAUAAACCGGAGGAAGGUGUGGAUGACGUCAAGUCAUCAUGCCCCUUACAUCCUGGGCUACACACGUACUACAAUGCUACGGACAAAGGGCAGCAAACUCGCGAGAGCUAGCAAAUCCCAUAAACCGUGGCUCAGUUCAGAUCGUAGGCUGCAACUCGCCUACGUGAAGGAGGAAUCGCUAGUAAUCGCAGGUCAGCAUACUGCGGUGAAUACGUUCCCGGGCCUUGUACACACCGCCCGUCACACCAUGGAAGUUGGCCACGCCCGAAGCCGUUACUCCAACCCUUGUGGAGGAGGACGUCGAAGGU
rnacentral:rRNA from 1 species